rnacentral:rRNA from 1 species
AUGAAGAGGAAGAUGGAAGAUAGAAAGAGGAGGCCAUGGAGUAUAAGUGUAGGGUGUAAAGCUAAAUUGGUGAUUGCAAGACAGAAGAAAACAUGUCAGUGGUUUGUGAAGGAUUUCAUCGAUGAACACAACCAUCCUCUAGCCCCACGGGAUCUGUCGUGUCUUUUGCAUUCACACAGAAGAAUUAGCGAUGAGCAGAAAGCGGACAUUGCAGACAUGGAAAAGUCUGGGAUCAAAAAACACCAUAUUAUGGAUAUUAUGUGCAUGCAAUACGGUGGAUAUGAUGAGGUUGGAUGCAUUAUGAGGGACAUUUACAAUUUCUGCCAUGCUAACAAGCAGGAAACAAUUUCUUCCGGGGAUGCUCAAAUGGUGAUCAAUCACAUGGUGGCGAGGCAAGAGCAAGAUUCAGAUAUUUUCUUCAGGUACUUGGUUGAUGAAGCUGGCCAUCUGAAGGAACUGUUUUGGUGUGAUAGUCAAUCCUGA